rnacentral:rRNA from 1 species
UACGGGGGGAGCAAGCGUUGUUCGGAUUUACUGGGCGUAAAGGGCGCGUAGGCGGCCCACCGCAAGUCGACUGUGAAAUCUCCGGGCUUAACCCGGAACGGUCAGCCGAUACUGCGGGGCUAGAGUGCAGAAGGGGCAACUGGAAUUCUCGGUGUAGCGGUGAAAUGCGUAGAUAUCGAGAGGAACACCUGCGGCGAAGGCGGGUUGCUGGGCUGACACUGACGCUGAUGUGCGAAAGCUAGGGGAGCAAACAGG